GUGACUGGGUUUGAAAAUUUUUAAAAGAACUGCUACAAAAACUUAGCUGUCAUUUGCAAUAUGUUACCCUAUCAUUGCUUAUUUUAAUUCCUCUCUAUUUUCAGGAGAAUACCUAAAACUGAAAGUGUAUCUAGACACAGCCAACAAAAGCUAUAUUUUAUAGUUAUUUACCCAAGUUCCUUAAAGCCACAAACAUGUUUCUACAAUAACCAUCACACUGCAGUAUAAGUACAUAAAAUCUUUAUAGUUUUAAAUGGCAAAGCUAUGUUUCUCUGUACUUUCAUAUUACAUUGCUUUAAAAAGAGUUUCCACAAUUCAACUUAAAAUUCCUAAGUUGCUAAACUUACGAGCAAAACAAUCACAAGAAGGAAUUCUUUCUGCCUGAAGUUGUUAGCAGUAAUAGAAAUACAAGUCAUAAGCAGCCUUUUAAAUCAAGUGUAAUCAUAUUGUGCUGAGAAGGAGCCUUUUCUUAGCAGAACAUUAACAAGUCCCAAAUUUUCUGGGAUUGUCCUGAUUCUGGAUGCUCUGACCCAUUGCCAAGCUCUGUAUUGAGACAAAGUAUCCCAUUUUCUGAUUCUCAGAAGAUGACAGCAUAUCCUGUCCCCUUGGGUUCUAAAGAUCUGUUAUUUCAGCUAGCCUCCCAAUUUAAAGAUAAAUGACACAUGCAAUUCUUAUAAAAAACAAAGUAUCACCAUCCCGACUUGUGUUGAUUGAAACUGCAAUUUUCUAAGGUCCGUUUGCCUCGAUCUGUGAUAUUUCUGUGUAAUGUUUCCAGGCUCAAUCAGGGAGAUUUUUAUUUCACUCUUCACAAAAUGUCCCCUUUUUAUGCCCCACAAGUACCCCCAAGUGGGUUUAUAAUUAAAUUACACAGUCUCAAUCGAAGGGGGAUGCAGAUGAAAAACAAUUGUUCCUCAUCUCCAACUCCCAAUUUUCUAAAAAGACAUUUAAACCUUUAACUCCUAGGUACCUAAAAAAGCAAAUGAGGUGCAGAUAGCUGGAAUUUCUCCUAUUUUUUUGUUUUAGAAUGAAACUUUUCUUAACGGCAAUGAAAACAAAUAGAAAAAUGCUUGCUUUUGUGCUAUGAAAGACAGAAAAGAAAAAACAGUCCUUGAAUAUUUGCAACAAAAGACCAUCACUUGCUACUGGAAUUGACUGGAUUAGAAAGCUAAAGUUUGGAGGAAAAUGUGCAAAUAUCAAGGUUACCUGGGUCUGCUGGUCACUUCCUAGUUUUUGGACUCUUGAAGAUGGGGAUUUGCUGAUUUGUAAGCAUGGAGCAGGCAAUCAGUAGAAGGUUGAUGAAAGUCACCCAGAAGGAAAUAAAAGGCAGGGAUAAUGCACAGGAGAUACAAUGGCUGGUGUACAAGCAAGAAGUGGACACUUCAUGCCCAUGAUAUCUUGAGAGAGGUAAGCUGUGGCAGAUUCAGAAUACACCUUUAGGAGUCCUCUAGAGAUGACAGGAGGUGCCGCUCCAACUGAGGAUGAUUCCAGCAGGAAAAGCUUUCAGUUCACCCUACUAUCAUUUCCAUCUUUGGGUGCCAUGGACAAGAGUGGGGCUUUCCACCAUGUAUUCCUCCCACUCAUAACUCAUCCAAGUGACUCCCACUCCAAACAAAACAGAAUUUUUGGAUGAGCUAGAAAAUUUAUCAGUCUUUCUUUCCUUACUCAUCCUGUCCUUCCCUAGACUAAUCCCAAAGUAAUGGAAAAUAUGUUCUUUAAAGAAAA